rnacentral:rRNA from 1 species
AGAGUUUGAUCCUGGCUCAGAACGAACGCUGGCGGCGUGCCUAACACAUGCAAGUCGAACGAGAACGCGGACUUCGGUCCGUUAGUAGAGUGGCAGACGGGUGAGUAACACGUGGACAACCUGCCCAGAUGUGGGGGAUAACCUUUCUAACGAAGGGCUAAUACCGCAUAAUAUCUCAUAAUCUUCGGGUUUUGAGAUCAAAGCUUGCCUCUAUUUAUAAGCUAGCGCAACUGGAGGGGUCCGCGCCCCAUUAGCUUGUUGGUGAGGUAACGGCUCACCAAGGCUUCGAUGGGUAGCCGGCCUGAGAGGGUGAUCGGCCACACUGGAACUGAGACACGGUCCAGACUCCUACGGGAGGCAGCAGCGAGGAAUCUUGCGCAAUGGGCGAAAGCCUGACGCAGCGACGCCGCGUGGAGGACGAAGGUCUUCGGAUCGUAAACUCCUGUCAGGAGGGAAGAAUGCAAUGGGGAUGAAUAAGCCUUGUUGUUGACGGUACCUCUAGAGGAAGCCCCGGCUAACUCCGUGCCAGCAGCCGCGGUAAUACGGAGGGGGCUAGCGUUGUUCGGAAUUAUUGGGCGUAAAGGGCGCGUAGGCGGUUUGGUAAGUCAGUUGUGAAAGCCCUCGGCUCAACCGAGGAAUUGCGACUGAUACUGCCGAACUUGAGUCCCGGAGAGGGUAGUGGAAUUCCCAGUGUAGCGG